CGAYCCUGCUGGGACUUCUGCAUCUGUCUUGAACAGUGUCGAUACCAGUGGCCUGUGCAACAGGUUCACAGAUCARACAGUGGUGGCCAUUGUAUGGUUGAGAUAUGACCGGUCCCGGCUGUAACCAGCCGGUGAAGCCACGUUCCGUAGGUGAACCUGCGGAAGGAUCAUUA
rnacentral:rRNA from 1 species